rnacentral:rRNA from 1 species
AUUGAACGCUGGCGGCAGGCCUAACACAUGCAAGUCGAACGAGUGGCGGACGGGUGAGUAAUGUAUGGGAAACUGCCUGAUGGAGGGGGAUCACUACUGGAAACGGUAGCUAAUUCCGCAUACCAUCAGAUGUGCCCAGAUGGGAUUAGCUAGUUGGUGGGGGAACGGCUCACCAAGGCGACGAUCCGUAGCUGGUCUGAGAGGAUGCACAGCCACACUGGAACUGAGACACGGUCCAGACUCCUACGGGAGGCAGCAGUGGGGAAUAUUGCACAAUGGGCGCAAGCCUGAUGCAGCCAUGCCGCGUGUAUGAAGAAGGCCUUCGGUUUGUAAAGUACUUUCAGCGGGGAGGCGUUACCCGCAGAAUAAGCACCGGCUAACUCCGUGCCAGCAGCCGCGGUAAUAC